AACGAACGCUGGCGGCAGGCCUAACACAUGCAAGUCGAACGCUCUAGCAAUAGAGAGUGGCAGACGGGUGAGUAACGCGUGGGAACCUUCCCUGUGGUGCGGAAUAACUCGCCGAAAGGCGUGCUAAUACCGCAUAAGCCCGCAAGGGGAAAGAUUUAUCGCCAUAGGAUGGGCCCGCGUAGGAUUAGCUAGUUGGUGAGGUAAUGGCUCACCAAGGCGACGAUCCUAGCUGGUUUGAGAGAAUGACCAGCCACACUGGGACUGAGACACGGCCCAGACUCCUACGGGAGGCAGCAGUGGGGAAUCUUGGACAAUGGGCGCAAGCCUGAUCCAGCCAUGCCGCGUGAGUGACGAAGGCC
rnacentral:rRNA from 1 species